AUGUCAUGUGAUAAGUGUCACAAAUUGGCUACCAAAGAAACCGACAAGUAUUAUUGCAACAGUUGUGGUAUAUAUCCAGAGAAGGUCGCACCUCGGUACCGUGUUCGACUCCAAAUUAGUGACCAUACAUCUACUACAAGUUGCACUUUAUUUGACGAGGAGGCUGCAAGAUUUCUUAAUACAUCUGCAUCUAAGUUGCUGGACACACUAGAUGGGAAAUCGGAAGAAGCGCCAAAGAUUAUUCAACAAUUAUGUGGAAAAAGACUUAUAUUUCGGUUAAGGCUCAAUGAUAGUAAUCUCACAUUCGGCACACAAAACUAUGCAGUAAAAAGAACAUUUGUGCCUAAUGCUAAGGUUGAGAUGCUCUACUUGGACAAUAAAGCCGAGGAGGAACUGAUGGAUGAUGAAGUUGACACCGUGUUAAUGAAGAAGCAGAACAUGCCGGAUAGAAAGUCAAAGAAUAAUAAAGUUUCACCUGGCGAACUUUCAUGCGAACGGGUGCCUGUGAAAGAGGAGCCAAAUGAUAGCAAUGGGACUACAUUAAACAAAGAUAAGCGUCAAGACAAAGUAUCAUCGUCAUCACGUGUGCUCCGAAGUGGCAAUAAAAGGAGACUUAGAUCUGUUGCAAUAUCAGAUAGCUCAGAGGAUGAAUGCACUGAGACGAAUAUGCCUGAACAAAAGGACAAAAGGCCAAAAAUACAAUGCUUGAAGAUGAAGAUGAAGUAUGGAAAGCAAAGCCCAGGAGAACAAGGAUGUUAUCUAGAUAAUUAG
rnacentral:rRNA from 1 species